rnacentral:rRNA from 1 species
CCAAUAGCGUAUAUUAAGGUUGCUGCGGUUAAAAAGCUCGUAGUUGAAUUUCGGGAUUGAUGCAUCGGUCGUGCCUUAAGGGGUAUGAACUGGUGUGGUCAAUUUCUUACCUUCUGGUGAAUUGUGAUGUCCUCUUUAAUUGGGUGUUUCAAUGAACUAGGACUUUUUACUUUGAAAAAAUUAGAGUGUUUAAAGCAGGCAUUAUUUGCUUGAAUACAUUAGCAUGGAAUAAUAAAAUAGGACAAUGAUUCUAUUUUGUUGGUUUCUAGGAUCACUGUAAUGAUUAAUAGGGAUAGUUGGGGGCAUUAGUAUUCAAUUGUCAGAGGUGAAAUUCUUGGAUCAAUUGAAGACUAACUACUGCGAAAGCAUUUGCCAAGGAUAUUUUCAUUAAUCAAGAACGAAAGUUAGGGGAUCGAAGACGAUUAGGUACGUCGUAGUCUUAACCAUAAACUAUGCCGACUAGGAAUCAGACAACGUUAAAUUUUUAAUGACUUGUUUGGCACCUUACG